AUGCGCCCCGUUGUUCUCCUUGAUGAAGCUGCGGAUUUCGGGGAGCUGGGCCAUGCCGAUGUCGUCCGAGCCCUCUUUGCUGGUGCACAAAUUGUCGAGUUUUUGGCCGCCAUUGGUCAGCUCCUUGUAGCAGGUUUCAAAGCAUUCCUCGUCGGCCUUGGUCAGGUCUGGGUAGCGCUGCUUCUGAACGCCCGGGCUCGCGUCCCCGGAUGCUUGAAGAAGGAGGGUGGCGGUGGUGAGUGCCGCCAUCCCCGCCAGCUUCUUGUCGUCGGCGCCUUUGCUCUCGUCGUAGCGCGCGAUCAUGUCGGCGCAGACCUCCGGGUAGGGCGUGUCGGCGCAAAACCUUUUGACGUUGCGAUAUGGGGGCGGUCUCCACCGCCAUCCCCACAUCACUGA
rnacentral:rRNA from 1 species